rnacentral:rRNA from 1 species
UACAGAGGUCUCGAGCGUUUAGGCGGAAUCACUGGGCUUAAAGGGCGCGUAGGCGGGCUGCCAAGUCUGGGGUGAAAUCCCACGGCUCAACCGUGGAACUGCCCCGGAUACUGGCGGCCUCGAGGGGGGUAGGGGCGUGCGGAACUGUGGGUGGAGCGGUGAAAUGCGUUGAUAUCCACAGGAACUCCGGUGGCGAAGGCGGCACGCUGGACCUUUUCUGACGCUGAGGCGCGAAGGCCAGGGGGAGCAAACGGG